rnacentral:tRNA from 1 species
AGGGGUAUAGCCAAGCGGUAAGGCAACGGACUUUGACUCCGUCAUCGGUGGUUCGACUCCACCUAUCCCUG